ACAAGUAAAUAGUGAAAAGUAAAUAGUGUAAUUGUAGUAUGUCCACUCGCCCAGACGUCCAAGAACCAGCGACCGACGGGGCGUCAACGUCUCGAAGCCACCCCAUAGUACCUGCUUCUGAGCUACGUCCGUCCCGCACAGA